rnacentral:tRNA from 1 species
CAGAGGGUAGUUUAUGGAAAAUUCUAAUUUUGGGGAUUAGAGAUAGGCGUAUACCUUCCUCUGA